CAUAGACCCAGAGCUGCUAGAUUCAUGCAAGUCCAAAAUGCUUCUUUCAAAUCACUUCCAAAGUAUGACCCUAGUGCUUAUGUUAUUAAGAUAAUCUUCAGUUUAGUUGUAAUGUGUAGGCUUCAAUUCUUUAGGUAUGGAGAGUGCACCACUCAUAUUUUGAGAUCAGAUUGUCUUUUACAGAUGAUAUAUAUAUAUAUAUUGUGGCAAUGGAAUCAGUAUUAUCCUAAUUUAAGUUUCAGUGUUAUAGCCAAAGACAGAAAGUUAUCGUUGAGUGCUUGGCAAUUUGUAACCUGGGAAAUAUUUAAUUUUUCUUUUUACUGAUUAAUAUAGUUUCCAGAAUACAUUCCUCCUCAUUCUCAACCUUCCUGCUCCAUGUGUUGAUGAACAUCUACACAGACAUUAUGCGGUUGAGAAACACUGGGUUAGAGACUUUGUUAUGGGGCCCAUUGUUCUCCAUCUUUGCUCCCUUUUUCUUUUUGUCCUUUAGCCUGCUGUUGAUUUAGAACAGGAAAGCAAAUCACAUCCGAGGCAAGAAUUAGAAGAAUCCAGUAUCUCUUGCAUUCCCACUUAUCUAAUAUAUUAUUUUAAAAAAUUGCAAAAAUAUUUUAUUUUCUUAAAUUGUUAUGAGGUUGAAUAUUGUAUGUAGCUUUAAGCAACUAUCCCUGUGACAGUAAGAUGCCAUUUUGUGUUUUUUUUUUCACUUUCAUGUCUUUUAUUUCCUACAGAGCAAUGAUGAAUUGGGUUUUUUUUUUCUUUGAAAUAUGUAAAAAGGAUUUAAGCCUAUUUCACGAUAAGGCUAAUAAUAUAACAAAUUGCCACUGCCAUCAAUGCAAGUGGAAAGCCAAGGAUAGCAGUUGAUGGUCUCAAGCUGAGGAGCCCAAGUCUGCUCAUCCUGUAAUAUAGGUGCCAAACCAAUCAGUAGGAAUUGCAAUUUUGACCAGCUAGCUGAAUAAUAAAAGUAAUUGUCUUCACUUGGCACUGCUGACCUCCCAGGUUUGAUGGAAUACUUGGGACAUUUGCCCAAGCUGAAAUGUAUAAGAGGGUUGGAGGAGAGAAUUCUAAUGGUCUGUAACCGUGUAUAAAAGUUGUGAAAUAAAAUCGUCCGCAACCAUGUGGCUCUUUUUAA